rnacentral:siRNA from 1 species
UUCGAUCCCCGGCAACGGCGCCA